rnacentral:rRNA from 1 species
GACGAACGCUGGCGGCAUGCUUAACACAUGCAAGUCGAACGGAAAGGCCCUGCUUUUGUGGGGUGCUCGAGUGGCGAACGGGUGAGUAACACGUGAGUAACCUGCCCUUGACUUUGGGAUAACUUCAGGAAACUGGGGCUAAUACCGGAUAGGAGCUCCUGCUGCAUGGUGGGGGUUGGAAAGUUUCGGCGGUUGGGGAUGGACUCGCGGCUUAUCAGCUUGUUGGUGGGGUAGUGGCUUACCGAGGCUUUGACGGGUAGCCGGCCUGAGAGGGUGACCGGCCACAUUGGGACUGAGAUACGGCCCAGACUCCUACGGGAGGCAGCAGUGGGGAAUAUUGCACAAUGGGCGGAAGCCUGAUGCAGCAACGCCGCGUGCGGGAUGACGGCCUUCGGGUUGUAAACCGCUUUCGCCUGUGACGAAGCGUGAGUGACGGUAAUGGGUAAAGAAGCACCGGCUAACUACGUG